rnacentral:rRNA from 1 species
UAUUGGUCAAUGGGCGCGAGCCUGAACCAGCCAAGUCGCGUGAGGGAUGACGGCCCUACGGGUUGUAAACCUCUUUUGUCGGGGAGCAAAUUCCGUUACGUGUAACGGAGUCGAGAGUACCCGAAGAAAAAGCAUCGGCUAACUCCGUGCC